rnacentral:ncRNA from 2 species
UUUGACCAUUAGGGGAAUCCUUGAAAAGGACUGAGAGACGAGUGCAACUCCGAUACCCUUAUUACCUGAACAGGUUCGGACCUGCGGAGGGAAGUGGAUUGUUUUGGUG